rnacentral:rRNA from 1 species
AGUGUACACGGCGGAUGCCUAGACACAAUAUAGCGAUGAAGGACGUAGCAGCCUGCGAAAAGCUUCGGCGAGGUGGCAAGCAACCUUUGACCCGGAGAUAUCCGAAUGGGGCAACCCACUAUGGCAAACCCAUAGUACCUGCAACUGAAUACAUAGGUUGUAUGGAGUAAACCCAGGGAAUUGAAACAUCUUAGUACCUGGAGGAAAAGAAACCAAUUGGUAUUCCCAGAGUAGUGGCGAACGAAAUGGGAGAAGCCCAAACCGAUCGAGUUAUUCGAUCGGGGUGCAGAUUCAAAACGUUAAGCGCAAGCUUAGGUGGAGUUACAUCAAAGAAAUUAUAUAGCGGAAUAUCCUGGAAAGGAUAGCCAAAGAGGGUGACAGCCCCGUAUGCAAAAUAUAUUUUCGCUCUACGGUUUUAUUUCUCGAGUAGCAUGGAACACGUGAAAUUCUAUGUGAAUAUGCCGGGACUAUCCGGUAAGGCUAAAUAUAUAUUGUGAUCGAUAGUGAACUAGUACCGUGAGGGAAAGGUGAAAAGUACCCCGAGAGGGGAGUGAAAUAGUCUCUGAAACCGUGUACAUACAAUAGAUCGGAGCCCGCAAGGGUGACGGUGUGCCUAUUGAAGAAUGAGCCAACGAGUUAUAUCAACUGGCGUGAUUAAUUCCGAAAAGGAAGCAGUCAGAGGGAAACCGAGUGUGAAUAGCGCGUAUCUCAUUCUAAUGACCACAGCAUUCUGUGUCGUGGUCAUUGGAAUGAGUAGUCAGUUGUUAUAGACCCGAAACCAAGUGAUCUAUCCAUGGCCAGGGUGAACCUUCCGUAACAGGAAGGGGAGGCCCGAACCCACUGAUCGUAUAACGUCAGGGGAUGAGCUGUGGAUAGCGGAGAAAUUCCAAUCGAACUUGGCUAUAGCUGGUUCUCUCCGAAAUAUCUUUAGGGAUAGCCCUACAAACUCUCCCGCGGGGGUAGAGCACUGAAUGGGAAAAGAGCCGCAAGGUAUCUUUCCUAACCAAACUCCGAAUACCGCGGUGAAUUAUUGUAGGAGUCAGACCGUGGGGGCUAAGCUUCACGUGUCGAAAGGGAAACAGCCCAGAUCACCGUCUAAGGUCCCUAAAUCUCCAUUAAGUGUGAAAGGUGGUAUCGCGACUCAAACAACUAGGAGGUUGGCUUAGAAGCAGCCAUCCUUUAAAGAAAGCGUAAUAGCUCACUAGUCGAGUUGCUUUGCGCCGAAAAUGUACCGGGGCUAAAUGGAGUACCGAAGACGUGGAUUCAUACUAUUUAUAGUAUGUCUGGUAGGAGAGCGUUCGCAUCAGCGCUGAAGUUUGACCCGUGAGGGCGGAUGGAGCGAUGCGAAGUGAGAAUGUUGGCAUGAGUAGCAAAAAUGACUGUGAGAAACAGUCACGCCGUAAGCCUCAGGUUUCCUGGGCAAUGAUUAUCAUCCUAGGGUUAGGCGGUCCUAAGGCGAGGCCGAAAGGCGUAGUCGAUGGACAGCAGGUUAAUAUUCCUGCCCUACAAUGAACUUGGCGAGACCCGACGCUGUCUGAAUUCUGAUGUGUUUUCAUGGAAUGAAACAUCUGCUUACUGGAUAACAGUUUGUGGCGAGUGGACGGGGCAACCCAACCGCAAGAACAGAUGACAGGGGGCCUAGAAAAGGGCUAACGCGUAUAGGUUCAUUGUAUCCGUACCGUAAACCAACACAGGUAGGCGAGGAGAGUAUCCUCAGGCGUACGAGAGAACCUUCGUUUAGGAACUCGGCAAAACAGCGGCCGUAACUUCGGGAUAAGGCCCGCCUCGCAUCUUCGGAUGUUGAGGCCGCAGCAACUGCUGGGAAACGACUGUUUACCAAAAACACAGCUCCAUGCUAAAUCGCAAGAUGAUGUAUAUGGGGUGAUGCCUGGCCAGUGUCCGAACGUUAAGGAAGGGGGUUAGAAAUUUAUUUCGAAGCUUUCGACCGAAGCGCGGAUGAACGCCGGCCGUAACUAUAACGGUCCUAAGGUAGCGAAAUUCCUUGUCGGGUAAGUUCCGACCUGCACGAAUGGCAUAACGAUUUCCCAACUCUCUCAACGAAGGACUCGGCGAAAUUACACUACCGGUAAAGAUGCCGGUUACCCGCAGCAGGACGAAAAGACCCCGUGAAGCUUUACUACAACUUGACAUUGAUGUAGUGAAUUACUUGCUCAGUAUAGGUGGGAGACUUUGAAAGCGCGCUUUGGCGUCGCUGGAGUCGCAAUAUGAGAUACCACCCUUGUGAUUCGUUACAUCUAACCCUACUCCAUGAAUCUGGAGCGGGGACAGUGUCUGGUGGGUAGUUUGUCUGGGGCGGAUGCCUCCCAAAAUGUAACGGAGGCGCUCACAAAGGUUGGCUAGAUUCGGAUGGAAAUCGAAUCGAUAGUGUAAAGGCAGAAGCCAGCUUUACUGCAAGACUUACUAGUCGCGCAGUCACGAAAGUGGGACUUAGUGAUCCGACCGUGCGAUAUAGGACGGCGGAAGCUCAUCGGAUAAAAGUUACUCCGGGGAUAACAGGCUAGUCAGGUCCAAUAGUCCACAUAGACGACCUGGUUCGGCACCUCGAUGUCGGCUCGUCGCAUCCUGGGGGUGAAGCAGCUCCCAAGGGUUUGGCUGUUCGCCAAUUAAAGCGGCACGCGAGCUGGGUUCAGAACGUCGCGAGACAGUUCGGUCUCCUAUCCGCUGUGGGCGUUGAAUCUUGAAGAGGCCCUUCCCUAGUACGAGAGGACCGGGAAGGACGAAGCUCUCGUGUACCAGUUGUCCCACCAGGGGCAUUGCUGGGUAGCGACCUUCGGUUAGGAUAACCGCUGAAAGCAUCUAAGCGGGAAGCCGUCUCUAAGAUUAGGAUUCUUAAACUCCUUGA